CAGUGCUGGAGGCUGAAGAAAUC
rnacentral:piRNA from 1 species